UUUAAAAUUACUAGAACGAUAAGCAUGAUUUCUAAUUUUUUAUUUUCAUGUAAUUAAUCCUAAAUUAAAUUAAAAAUAACUCAUGAAAAGUAUUAUGUAAUUUCAAAAUAAUUCAAGAGAGUUGAGUUACUUACCUUGUAGUCGAAGCUCGUCAAAGCCCAAUUCGUCAUUUCACCUUUGGAAGUUCUUGAUUCAUCCUUGGGUGCCUUCCUUUUCUUUGGCCUCUUCCUCCGUUCAAGUUCAUUGUUUAUUUUAGAUUUUUGUUUAAUAAACUUAUUAAGAUUUAGUGUUCGAAGUUCAAGUUCAUCAUUGUCCUCAUCACUUGAGUCAUCGCUCAAG
rnacentral:lncRNA from 1 species